CUACGGGCGGCACCAGUGGGGAAUAUUGCACAAUGGGGGGAACCCUGAUGCAGCAACGCCGCGUGGAGGAUGACACAUUUCGGUGCGUAAACUCCUUUUAUAUAAGAAGAUAAUGACGGUAUUAUAUGAAUAAGCACCGGCUAACUCCGUGCCAGCAGCCGCGGUAAUACGGGGGGUGCAAGCGUUACUCGGAAUCACUGGGCGUAAAGAGCAUGUAGGCUGGUUUGUAAGUUGGAAGUGAAAUCCUAUGGCUUAACCAUAGAACUGCUUCCAAAACUACUUACCUAGAGUAUGGGAGAGGUAGAUGGAAUUUCUGGUGUAGGGGUAAAAUCCGUAGAGAUCAGAAGGAAUACCGAUUGCGAAGGCGAUCUACUGGAACAUUACUGACGCUCAGAUGCGAAAGCGUGGGGAGCAAACAGGAUUAGAUACCCGUGUAGUC
rnacentral:rRNA from 1 species